GAUGAACGCUGGCGGCGUGCCUAAUACAUGCAAGUCGAGCGAACAGACGAGGAGCUUGCUCCUCUGACGUUAGCGGCGGACGGGAGAGUAACACGUGGAAAACGCACCUAUAAGACGGGGAUAACUUCGGGAAACCGGCGCUUAUACCGGAUAAUAUAUUGAAGCGCAUGGUUCAAUAGUGAAAGACGGCUGUGCUGGCACUUAUAGCGGGUUCUGCGCCGCAUUAGCGAGUUGGUAAGGUAACGGGUUAUCAAGGCAACGAGGCGUAGGCGACCUCAGAGGGUGGUCGCCCACACUGGAGCUGAGACGCGGUCCAGGGUCCUACGGUACGCAGCAGUCGGGAAUGUUCCGCAGUGGUCGAAAGCCUUACGGAGCAGCGGCGCGUGAGUUGUGAAGGUCUUCGGAGCGUAAAACUCUGUUAUUGGUGAAGAACAAAUUUGUAAGUAACUGUGCACGUCUUGACGGUACCUAGUCAGAAAGCCACGGCUAACUACGUG
rnacentral:rRNA from 1 species